UGACAUGCGAUGAGACAAAAGGUUGCUUAAUUUACUUAAGGGAAUUUUUGUUGAGAAUGUCCGGCUUAGAAUCGGGCGACAA
rfam:[Clostridium] acidurici 9a chromosome, complete genome.